CAAUUAAUUUGAGGGGGAAAAAUUAAUAAUAAUUUAUAAUUAAUAAAAAUAAUUUUAAUAUUAAAUUGGGGGUUUUAGUAUUAAUAAAGAAUUAAUUAUAAAAUUUAUAGAGAAUUAGUAUUGUGAAAGAAAUUUUAAAUAUUUUGAAAAUAAAUUUAUUAAAAAGUAAAUUUAAUUUAUUGUAUCUUGUGUAUCAGAGUUUAUUAAAUAUGAAUUUAGUUUAAUUUUUUCUCGAAUUUAAAAGAGAUAAUUAAUUAAUAAAGUUAUUGUAGCAAAAAUAUUUUUAAUAAUUAAUUUGAAAUGAAAUGUUAAUCGAUUUUAAAGAUAUCUAGUUUUUUUAGAAAAAAAUUUAAUUUUAUUAUUUUUUAUAUAAAAAAUUAAUUAAUUAAUUUUUUAUAAUAAAAUAAAUAUAUUUUAAGGGAUAAGCUUUAAAUUAAAUUUUUAUAAUUAUAUAAAAAAUUUAUUUAAAAUUUUUAAAAUUUAUAUUGUUUAUAAUUUUUAAUUUAUUAUAAAUAAUUUUAAUUAAAAUAAAAUUUUAUAUAAUUUAAAUUUUUAUAAAAAAAUAAUUUUUAAUAAUUUAAAAUUAGUUAUAAUGAUAAAAUUAGUAUUAUAAAAUUUAUUAUAAUAUAUAUAUAUAUAUAUAUAUAUAUAUAAAUUAAAGGAAUUCGGCAAAAAAUUAUAUUCACUUGUUUAUCAAAAACAUGUCUUUUUGUUAAUAAUUUAAAGUCUAAUCUGCCCACUGAUGAAAUAUUAAAGGGCUGCAGUAUUUUGACUGUACAAAGGUAGCAUAAUCAUUAGUCUCUUAAUUGGUGACUUGUAUGAAAGAUUGGAUGAAAUAUAAACUGUCUCUAAUUUAAUAAAAGAAAUUAAUUUUUUAAUUAAAAAGUUAAAAUAAAUUUAAAAGACGAGAAGACCCUAUAGAGUUUAAUAUAUUAAUUUAUUUAAUUUUUUUAUUAAAUUAAUAAUUAAAAUAAAUUAAUUUAUUUUGUUGGGGCGAUAAAAAAAUAAAAUAAACUUUUUUUAUGUUAUAUUCAUGAAUAAGUGAGUAAAUGAUCCAAAAUUAUUUUGAUUAAAAGAAAAAAUUACCUUAGGGAUAACAGCGUAAUUUUUUUUUUUAGUUCUUAUAAAAAAAAAAGUUUGCGACCUCGAUGUUGGAUUAAGAUAAAAUUUAUAUGCAAAAGUAUAAAAUUUUGAUCUGUUCGAUCAUUAAAAUCUUACAUGAUCUGAGUUCAAACCGGUGUGAGCCAGGUUGGUUUCUAUCUUUAAAAAAAAUAAAAUAUUUUAGUACGAAAGGAAUAAAUAUUUAAAUUAAAUUUAAUUUUAUGAAUUUUAUUAAUUAAUUAAUUUAUAUAUAAUUGAAUUAUAC
rnacentral:rRNA from 1 species